CUCGUCCUCAGUCAACCUCUUGUUACUGGUGGGCUCUGAGCUGCAUCUCCUGGGACCGUUUGAUUGACCUGUUUUAUAAUUUGCUGUCUCCUCGGCUCCUACUGACUGAGGGGACGUUGCGGAGCAGUUAGGCAAGGGGGUUGUUUGACAGAGAAUGCAGACAUCUGAGAUCCUGCAGCACCUGCUCGAUGUGCAGAAGGGCCAAACUUCCACUGGGAAGGAUGCUUGGACAGCUCCAGUGCUCUCCUAUGCCAGGACCUCUCCUGGGUCCAACCCUCUCUGCAUCUGGAGGAUCCCUAAUCCUCCCUGAGCCCCUCAGUGCCUUUAGCCCCUCAUUUUCCCUGAAUCACCCUAACAAUCACCCACAGAACAAUGCCACUAUUACAUUGUGAGAUACCUCUUCACAAACUCAUCUCUACAGACAUUGUAGCAACAGCAUUAAAUAUCCUUAGUUUAAAAAAAAAAAAAAAUCUAUUCCUUCAGCAGGAAAAAUAUGUAGUGGUCAAAAUAAUUGAAAGAAUGGUGGUGGGUAGAGAUUUACUUAUAAAUACUUGACUUCAAGUGGUUAAUUGUUCUACUCAUCAGCAUUUAGACAAAUAAAUUACUUGAGUUUGAAAAUGUA